UACGGAGGGGGCUAGCGUUGUUCGGAAUUACUGGGCGUAAAGCGCACGUAGGCGGCUUCGCAAGUCAGAGGUGAAAGCCCGGGGCUCAACCCCGGAACUGCCUUUGAGACUGCGUCGCUCGAAUCCGGGAGAGGCGGGUGGAAUUCCGAGUGUAGAGGUGAAAUUCGUAGAUAUUCGGAAGAACACCAGUGGCGAAGGCGGCCCGCUGGACCGGCAUUGACGCUGAGGUGCGAAAGCGUGGGGAGCAAACAGG
rnacentral:rRNA from 1 species